CGGGGCGGGGACUAACUCGACAGUCUGGAGUCCGACACCGCCCCAGUCCUGACGCCUGGGUCUUCCUCCUAAGCAGGCUCCUCCUGCAGCGCAGGAAAGGAGGCCAGGUGGAGGAAGGGGUGCUUUGAAAAGUCACAGAUAAUGCGCAGCCCACCGUGUGAGAGAGCGCGGCCGGGCGCCCGACUCUUCCCGGGCUCCCCACCCCCGGGCCCAGGGAUCCCCCUCCUCCCUUCGCGGUCCUCGUGUCCCCGGGCGCCUGGGGAGAUCGCCACGUCUUUCCUGCCUGCCCAGCCUUCUGCCAGUUAAGCGCUCCUUCGUUCCACUUUGCCAGUAAUAAUUAUAUCAACGACCCAACAUUGUGCCGUGUGCCGUGUGCCUGGCACUGUGCUGCAAUUUGACAGACGGUGCCUCAUCAGCCUCCGGACAGCCCCCUGAGCAUGUCCAGUUCCCAUGAGGUAAUCCACGCAGAGAAGGGAGGGCAACCUUCCAGACAACCCUCAGAAAGGACCUCUUCCUCACUCCACACUCAAAGGCUUCCAAACCUACUACCCAGAUGUUGUGUCCAAUUUUACCAGCCCUGCAGGAAGAAGCUAUGGAAUGGACCAGUGACCAGUUGAUCAACUAGCUCCAGCAUAUUAACAAGGCUUCUGGCAAUAAAUGAACUAGUUAUUUCCUUUUCCACCACUAAAUGAAGUGUUCAAGAGCAAAAAAGAAAUGUUUCCAAAUGACAGCUUGCUUGUGUUUCCCCUCCAUGUCUUGAAAUCUUUGCUGACCUCUGAGAGGCACUUUGUUUAGUAAUCUAUUUGGGGCAGGGUAGAUAAUACAAAAAUAAUUAUAGUAAAUUUUCUAGGGACCAUUUCCAAAGCCAAAGCCUGACAUCUUACUUCUAAAAGGUGUGGCUAAAGGGUAGUAGAUUAAAAACAAAAACAGCAAUAGCUCAGGCUUUAGGCUAGAAGAUUCUGGAUCCAUCUGUAUUAGCCCUGUGGCCCUGGACCAGUUGUUAUCCGCUCCUUUUAUUUAUUUAUUUGGUAUUGGGGAUUGAACUCAGGACCUUGUGCUUGUGAGGCAGGCAGCAGAAUCACUGAGCUACAUCCCCAGUCCUAUCUGCUCCUUUUAAAUGAAGCAACAGUACUCAGUAGGACCAGCAGUUGCUGAGGAUUAGAGGUAAUCUAAGCAGCCCCUGGCCCUGGGCUGAGUGUACUUUAGUAAAUGGUAACUAUUAUUGUGACAUUCAGUCUUUCAAUUAACCUGGUAUGUGGCCCACAUUGCUAGUUAGACACAGUAAGCUGACCCUUACCAGCUUUAAGGAUGGGCAAAUAGAGGUGUAGGAAAGCAAAUAGCCUUUUGCCCAGUACUGCUUCAAUAAAUCACUGCUUGGUUCCUAUAGAAGUAAGAGUCUAGCCUUCAGAAACACCCCCUGAAAUUCUACUCUAAUUGUCUUUGUAUUAUCUACCCCGCAACAUGAUUUAUUAAUCCAGUGCAAGCACAAGAUUGCACAGUAUGCUCUUAAGCUUUUUGUUGUUAUCUGCUUAUGGUGGUACUGUGGAUUGAACUCAGGGCCUUCACACUGAGCUACAUCCUCAGACCUUCUUUUCUAAUUUUUAGUUUGAGACAGGGUCUUUCUAAGUCACUAAGUUGCCCAGGCUGGGCUCAAACUUUCGAUUCUCUUUUCCUCAGCCUCUCAGAGUGCUGGAAUGACAGGCAUGCUGCACCAUACCCAGCUGGCUUUUAAGCAUUUCUAAAGCUUCAUUAAUCUAUAAACAAAUUAACACGUUAUAGGGCAUGCAAGAGGACUGGCUGGUUCCUUGAAUCCGAACUUCAUAACUUCAUUUACAGGGUACGAGGUCCCCUUUAGGAAAGCAGUUUCAGGGACCAUAGCAAAGCCUUACAUGUGUUUGCAUCCUUCUGUAUUAGAAGGUAAAGGACAAUGAUGCUCCUAGUGACAAGUAAAAUAAUAAAAAGAAUCAAUAUAAAUGUUAA